rnacentral:lncRNA from 1 species
CUAGAUCAUUAUGGUAUAGUCCCUCUUAACAAAAACUCACCAAAAAUGGUGUGUAUAUUAUUUCAGUAGAACUACAUCACAAAAUAAAAUUUAUGGACAUAAACAUUCUACCCACAUUAGAUAAUACCUCAACUUUACCCACGAUUGAUGGCUUUGCUCUUCCAGUUCUUGUGGAUAUGAAAUUGGACCUCAAAGUUUUAAUGGUCCUUUCCAUCCUUCCUUUCUGAAAAAUAAAAAUCGAAGGAGCAAACUAUUAAAAAUGCAGCUACUCCUAUAUGGACAACAUAAAUUGCAAACUGCUACCAGCAUUCAGCUAUCUGGUUAUCGUGUUUGAAAAUGUUUGUUUGAGUGACAGGAAAACAUCUAAAAAAAUUGAACCGAGUUAACAAAUCAAGCCAUUACUUCCCAAUUGAAAAAGUAAAACCAAGGUGCAACAUUGGAUUUUCUCUAGUACAUUGGCCUCAAACAUAAAUUGAUUCUAUCCAUUGGCCCAUCGACUGAAACAUCCUCCCCAACAGAUGUCAUCAUAUCAACUGCUUCGCCAAUAGUAACAAGCAAUAAAAACUAAAACGAAUUUGAAUCACAAACCCAAAACCAAGAAGGACCUCACUCGGUACAAUUGUAGAGGUUGCUCAGUACAGUUGCAGAUAUGAGCGCUAAGUACAGUUGUAUAGGAGAGACACAAAACUAUGAGAUUGUAUUCUUGCCUGAUUUAUUACUGCCCAUCAAAGUACCCACUAAAAAAGGGAGCUUGCUCGGUACAGUUGAAGAGGUUCCUGCACCCGAUAGUUUCCAUGGUUGACAUAUAUUCAGUCACGUCUGUCCCACUUGUUCACCACAAUGAAAAUAUCAGUUUGGACAAAUGAAAUUUCUCUAUCCCGGGCUGGAGUGAAUAUUCAAUGAGAAAGAGAUUAUGACCAGAAGAAGAUAAUCCACUCUACCAUACAUAUUUUUUACGUACAACAUCAGCUUAAUAUCAUUUCUGCAUCCAGUCCAUUGAACACUUCAUUCGGUGAUCGAGAAAAAUGAAUGGAAAAUUCAUAAAAUGGGCAAUAAGUUAAUGGCAUCGCAACCCUAGUUAAUAACAAGCAUUUGACUAUAGUCCAUAUAUUUGCUAUUGUAUGUUCGACAUUUUCAAAAAACUUAACAUCCAUUUUCCUUGCUCCACUGAUUUGCCCUUCAAUUCUUACAGAAAUCAAGUUUCCUUUAGACCUAAAUCGCAAAAUUCCAUAGAUCUUAUAACAAUAUAAAUGCACGAGGGAAUCCAUAAUAUGAAACGAGACUAAGCCCUUGUUAGGUUUUGCUACAAAUUACAUUUUUAGUAAAAUAAGGGAGUCAAACAAGAGCUAAAUAAAAAAUCACGAAGAAGAACUCAAUGUAACAUAGUGAAAUCUACAUAUUGGAAGCUCAUCUUCUGUUUUUGACUUUUAUAGUGUAAUAUUGUCGAUUAUCAAGUACCAAUCGUGCCCUGAUUCAAAUGCUAAUUAUAUGACCUUAAGCCUCCUAACAAAGGCAAUCUAUGUAAAUAUCUAAGAAUCAACUCGAAAAUUCUUUUGAACUCGUGUAUGUUUCUUAUACCAUGGUGUCAUCAGCAGACAGUUGGGCACUGCCCAGAAUGCUUUUUUCAUGUCUUCAACACAACUAAUUUCACUUAUUUCCCCACGCUGCACAUUACAGAAAAUUUCAGAUUCCAAAAAAUAUAUAUAUAAAAAAAAAAGUAUAAAAGAAGAAAACAUAUAACAUAUGCAAAGACACGAAAAUGACACGAAAAUUGUCAUAGUUAAAAAAGAACGUAUGAGUGAGACCAGAGAUGGAAAUAAGAUAUUUAUUUUGAAAUUAACUUCUACUGCACUGUCAAAUAAAUCCUUUUUCACUUAUUGGUAUGAAAAAUCUAUGUUUGAAACUAAAAUUCACUUGGAAGUAAGUUCCGCUACUCUUAAGCUUAGCCAAACAUGCUCAAAGUAUGUGCUAACACAUGUGAAGGACAACAUUAAAUGAUUGAAAUGUAAAAUUAUUCUCUUUAGGGGAAUAUCAGAAUUGAGAACGGUGUUAAUUCUUCUUACAAGCCUUUUUGAGUUUAUUUACUGGAGUUAUUUUGACAUAAUAUAGGUAUUGGUGGGAACCAAAAAUUCUCUUCUUUGAGGGUAUAUUAUGAUGACAACUUUGCUUUGAACACACCAUCUCUUUGCAGUCCAUCAAUAAAUAUGAAGUCGGUUGAUAAAAAGGGUCCGAAGAAAACAUUUUUUUUGUACAUAUGUAAUAACUUGAAAAUCUCAUGAAAUAGAAACACAUGCUAAAAUGUAAAACAUACAUCCGUUGGUAAUUAUAACAUGCAUGUUUCCCCCCUUAAGUAAAUGGAAUGUUUUAUACGAUCUAUUGCAUAUAUUUUACGUCUUAAACGUAUUUCUAUAUCACGGAAUUGCAAGUUAUCAAAAAGCAUGUAUUAUCCUACCCCUGUUGAGUAGUAAACUUGAUUUUUUGGACUAAAUAAUAUGGGCUUAAGGAUUUUGCUUAUAGGCCCAAAUCAAUUAAAAGGCCCAACAUGCAUAGCAUUUCUAGAAUCAUUAUCUAGAAAAAUCUAUAUAAAUAUCUACUAGAAAUAUCUAAGUAAGAUAUGUAGUUUUAUAAAGAAUAUCUAGAGAAUUCUAGGAAAAUAUCUUGAUAUGUGGUCUAGGUGUCUCUAGAAAAUGUGUGGACUAGAAUCUUCUUGUAAACACUAUAUAAAGGGAUAGUGCCCUCCAUUUUGUAAUAAGCCAAAAAGUGUGUAAAGUCUUGAAUUUGAGAAAUACAAGUUUCCUUUUUCCACUUCCUUCUUCCUAUUAGUGUUGUCCUCUUAAAAGCCUUAGCUAAUCCAAGUUAGUAAACCCAUCUUUCCUCCAACAAACUGGUAUCAGAGCCCCAAGGUUCUUGUGAAAAUGGCAAGUGGGAUGAUUCCUUUUCAAGUCCCCCAACUCAACAAGGAUAACUACGACAAUUGGAGUAUAAGGAUGAAAGCAUUGCUCGGGUCGCAAGAUGCAUGGGAGAUCGUAGAGAAAGGCUACA